rnacentral:rRNA from 1 species
CGAAGGGUGCUAGCGUUGUUCGGAAUCACUGGGCGUAAAGCGCGCGCAGGCGGCUACUCAAGUCAGGGGUGAAAUCCUUGGGCUUAACCCAAGAAUUGCCUUUGAAACUGUGUAGCUGGAGUGUCGGAGGGGAUAGCGGAAUUCCUAAUGUAGCGGUGAAAUGCGUAGAUAUUAGGAGGAACACCGGUGGCGAAGGCGGCUAUCUGGACGACAACUGACGCUGAGGCGCGAAAGCGUGGGGAUCAAACAGGAUUAGAUACCCUGGUAGUCCACGCUGUAAACGAUGGGUGCUAGCCGUUGGGGGGUUACCUCUCAGUGGCGCAGCUAACGCGGUAAGCAUCCCGCCUGGGGAGUACGGUCGCAAGAUUA